GCGGCGUGCUUAACACAUGCAAGUCGAACGGAAAGGCCCUGCUUUUGUGGGGUGCUCGAGUGGCGAACGGGUGAGUAACACGUGAGUAACCUGCCCUUGACUUUGGGAUAACUUCAGGAAACUGGGGCUAAUACCGGAUAGGAGCUCCUGCUGCAUGGUGGGGGUUGGAAAGUUUCGGCGGUUGGGGAUGGACUCGCGGCUUAUCAGCUUGUUGGUGGGGUAGUGGCUUACCAAGGCUUUGACGGGUAGCCGGCCUGAGAGGGUGACCGGCCACAUUGGGACUGAGAUACGGCCCAGACUCCUACGGGAGGCAGCAGUGGGGAAUAUUGCACAAUGGGCGGAAGCCUGAUGCAGCAACGCCGCGUGCGGGAUGACGGCCUUCGGGUUGUAAACCGCUUUCGCCUGUGACGAAGCGUGAGUGACGGUGAUGGGUAAAGAAGCACCGGCUAACUACGCGCCAGCAGCCGCGGUGAUACAUAGGGUGCGAGCGUUGUCCGGAUUUAUUGGGCGUAAAGGGCUCGUAGGUGGUUGAUCGCGUCGGAAGUGUAAUCUUGGGGCUUAACCCUGAGCGUGCUUUCGAUACGGGUUGACUUGAGGAAGGUAGGGGAGAAUGGAAUUCCUGGUGGAGCGGUGGAAUGCGCAGAUAUCAGGAGGAACACCAGUGGCGAAGGCGGUUCUCUGGGCCUUUCCUGACGCUGAGGAGCGAAAGCGUGGGGAGCGAACAGGCUUAGAUACCCUGGUAGUCCACGCUGUAAACGGUGGGUACUAGGUGUGGGGUCCAUUCCACGGGUUCCGUGCCGUAGCUAACGCUUUAAGUACCCCGCCUGGGGAGUACGGCCGCAAGGCUAAAACUCAAAGGAAUUGACGGGGCCCCGCACAAGCGGCGGAGCAUGCGGAUUAAUUCGAUGCAACGCGUAGAACCUUACCUGGGUUUGACAUGGAUCGGGAGUGCUCAGAGAUGGGUGUGCCUCUUUUGGGGUCGGUUCACAGGUGGUGCAUGGCUGUCGUCAGCUCGUGUCGUGAGAUGUUGGGUUAAGUCCCGCAACGAGCGCAACCCUUGUUUACUGUUGCCAGCACGUUAUGGUGGGGACUCAGUGGAGACCGCCGGGGUCAACUCGGAGGAAGGUGGGGAUGACGUCAAGUCAUCAUGCCCCUUAUGUCCAGGGCUUCACGCAUGCUACAAUGGCUGGUACAGAGAGUGGCGAGCCUGUGAGGGUGAGCGAAUCUCGGAAAGCCGGUCUCAGUUCGGAUUGGGGUCUGCAACUCGACCUCAUGAAGUCGGAGUCGCUAGUAAUCGCAGAUCAGCAACGCUGCGGUGAAUACGUUCCCGGGGCUUGUACACACCGCCCGUCAAGUCAUGAAAGUUGGUAACACCCGAAGCCGGUGGCCUAACCGUUGUGGGGGAGCCGUCGAAGGUGGGACUGGUGAUUAGGACUAAAA
rnacentral:rRNA from 1 species